UACGAGGGGGGCAAAUGUUGUUCGGAAUCACUGGGCGUAAAGGGAGCGUAGGCGGGUUCUUAAGUUAGGUGUUUAAUCCCGGGGCCCAACCCCGGACCGGCACUUAAAACUGGGAAUCUUGAAUAGUGGAGAGGUCAGUGGAAUUGGGGGUGUAGCGGUGGAAUGCGUAGAUAUUCGCAAGAACACCAGUGGCGAAGGCGGCUUACUGGUCCGGUUCUGACGCUGAGGCGCGAAAGCGUGGGGAGCAAACAGGG
rnacentral:rRNA from 1 species